rnacentral:tRNA from 1 species
GCCGAGAUAGCUCAGUUGGUAGAGCAACUGAUUCGUAAUCAGUAGGUCGGAGGUUCGACUCCUCUUCUCGGCA